UACGGGGGGGGCAAGCGUUGUUCGGAAUUACUGGGCGUAAAGGGCGUGUAGGUGGCCAACUAAGUCCGACGUGAAAUCCCCAGGCUUAACCUGGGAACUGCGUCGGAUACUGGAUGGCUUGAAUUCGGGAGAGGAAUGCAGAAUUCCAGGUGUAGCGGUGAAAUGCGUAGAUAUCUGGAGGAACACCGGUGGCGAAGGCGGCAUCCUGGACCGACACUGACGCUGAGGAGCGAAAGCCAGGGGAGCAAACGGG
rnacentral:rRNA from 1 species